rnacentral:SRP_RNA from 1 species
CAUUAUGCCGUGGACGUAGGGAGGGCCCGGCUCUAGCCGGGUCAGAUAACCAUGGAUCAACCAGGACAACAGGCCAUCCCCCACGUCAGGUAAUGACCCCCGCCCCAUGGGGCUGGUGGAGGUGGAGCCCCCUCUGGAGGGAGGGGGUGAACCACCUUAGCCAGGGGAACCCGGCCAGGCCCGGAAGGGAGCAACCUAACCCUGGACACCAGCGUUCAUGGGUUUAACCGGGGUUGAACCGGCGUGGAUAAGGCUCUGGCCUGUUGUCCUGGUUGAUCCAUGGGGCUAUGUCCACGGCUUCUU